UAAAAAUAUUGUUUUGGAUUUUUAACCGAAGUAUAUAUUUAUUAUUUAUUACCGGGUAAUUUUUAUAAUUUAUAUUUAAUUAUAUAUUAAUAAAUUGUAAAUUAUUUAAUAAAAUAAAAAUAAAAAACGGCGUUCCGUUUAUAAAAUGUCGAAUUAAGUUAAGUUUAUUAUAUUUACUACUUAAGUUUUAAUCCGUUUUUAUUUUAAUUACGUUUUGUGGUUUUUAUUUUCGAUUGAAUUUUAUAUUAAAAAUUAUUAGUUUUUUUUUCCGAAAAUCCCUGUUCUAAUAGCGGGUAUUAUUAUAAAAAAUAUAACGCCGUUAUAUAUAUAUAUAUAUUUAAUCCGUUAUUUAAUAAUUCGAAUUACCGUAACGCAAAUAUAUUUUUAUUUUGCGUUUCCGUUAAUAUUUAUUGUUAUAAAUUUAUUUAGCGCGUGAACGCGUAUGUUUUUUAUUAAAAUUAGAAAAUUAAACUUACCCGGGUUAACGGCGUUUUUCAAUUUUUUUAUUAAAUUUAAAUUUUAUCGCAGUUAUAUUUAUUAUAAACGUAUUUUUGUUUUUCGUUAAUUUGGGGGCCGGGGCGGUACCCGCGCGGUAAAAACCGAAAUAUUUAUCCAAUUCGAUUUUUUUGAAAUUUUAAAUAAUUUGGCGUUAAAUAAUUAUUGUUUUUAAAUAAAUCCCGUUUUUAAUAUUUUAUCCGAUAUAUUUUUUCCGGGUUUUAAAAAAUAUGCGAAAAUGCGAAAAGUUGGUACGGAAUUUGUCUGUUUAAAUUAAUUUUCCGGCUGUAAUUAAAAAAGUUUCGAAAUCCGUAAUAAAUUAGGCAAAUAAUUAAUUAAAUUAUAGUCUUAACCUUUUAAAUUUAAUUUUAACUCAUACCCGUUUAUAAAAACUACAAUAUAUACGCUCCAAAUAAUUUAAAAAAUUUAUAUAAUAAUACGCGUCGUUUUUACUGCCUAUUUUAUAAUAAAAACAAAUUAUUUUUUCAACGGGCGCGUCGAAUUUUGUUUAUAAAUACUUAUAUUAAUUGCUGUAAUUAUUUAUAAAACCCGCGUCGCAGCGGAAUUUAUAUUUUAUAAUAUAUUACUAAAUUAUAUAUGAGACCGGAACGUCGUUAUAUAAUAACGUAUAUUAAAACGGUUAAUAUUUUGAUAAUAUUAUUAUUUGUAAUAUUUCCGCAAUAAUUAAUAUUAUUAGGGUUUUUAUUUAUAACGUUUAUAUUUUUUAUUAAUCCGCGAUUAUCCGUUAUAAUUUUUUACAACGCGGCGCCCGGUAUUUAAACGGCGGUUGUUUUUAUAAAUGGCGAAUUUAUUAUUUGUAUAAAAAAAGUAAUAAACGAUAAUUAAUAUUAUAGGGUAAAUUAACAAUUAUACAACGGUUAAAUACCCGAAAAAAUAUUAUUAUCGCUAAAAAAAGGGGAAAAGAAGGGUACGGAAAAGGUUUUGGCGACUCUCCCUCCUUUAUAUAAAAUAUAAAUAAUUACGUAAUCCCCGCUGCUAUUUAUAUACGGAAAUACGUGCAAUUAGCACGAAUCCGUAAUAUUAUAAUUUAAUUGCAACUGUAUAUUGUAGCUGUGGGUAUAACCACAAAUUGCUCCCGAUUAAGUUUAAGGCCAUUUUGUCGUUUUUCGCCGUUCGUGGAAAUGCUACCAUAUAUCAAAUAAUUGGACCAAAAUUCCCCUCUUUUAUAAUAAAUUAAAUAAAUAUCGCAAAAAUAUACGGUUUGCACGUUGAAUAUAAUAUUAACCCAGUUUUUAACAACGAUUUAACUUUUAUUAACAAUUUACUAAUUGGUGGGUUUUGGAAUAUAAAUCGGAAAAAUUCGUUAAUUAAAAUACAAAUUCUGUUAAAAUAUUAAAAUUUCGAUUUUAUUUUAUUGUAAUUUUGUUUUGUAGCAGAAUUUAAUAAUCUUUACGCGUGGGGGGUAAUAUAUAUACAAAUUUCAUAUAUAUAAGUUAUUAUAUUAAUAUUAUAUAAUAUAAUAUAGUAAAAAACCAAAUAGGUAAAACAAAUUAAAAUUUAGUAAAAUUUGCAAUUGAAACGGGUUUGCAUUUUAACUAAUUUUUAGGGUACCAAUAUUAAAAUUCUAACAAUUGGACUUUAUAUAUAUAUAAACGCCCACGUUAAAUUAAAGUUGCAAAAAAACCCAAAAUUGGCUAUUCUAUUAGUAAAAAUAACAAUAUUUGUAAUUAUUAUUAUUUUUAUUAUUAUUUUUCAAAUAAAUAAAAUUUGUAAAAAUUAACAAAAAAAAUAUAUUAUACGUUAAAUAUAAAAAAGUUUAUUAUAAAUAAAAGUUAAAAUACCCACCCUAUUAUUUAUAAAUAUAAAAUAAAUUUAAUAAAUUAACUAAAUUUUAUAUUUUUUAUUUUAAAAUGUUAGAUAAUUAUUUUAAGUAAAAAAAUAAAAUAAAUACUUAUAUAAAUAAUUAUAAAUAUUAUUUCUAGAUAAAAAUUGGAUUUUUUAUCGUAUAUAUAUUCUGUUAAUAAAGUAGAAGAUUAAAUUACAAAUAAAGUAAUUUAAACGGCUAAUAUUUCGGCCACUAUAAGUAGUCCGAAAUCGAAUAAAAUGUUGUUAAAAAGCCUAGAAAACUGGGUAUAUAACAGCCUUUUGUUUGGAUUUUUACUACUUUUGUUAAUAAUAUAAGUGCUAAUAGUGGGUAUAAAUGGUAAUCCUAGGUGCGGCGUAAUAAAUAACCCAUGUUAAAAGCGCUAAAUAUAUUAAAAUAUAAAACGUUAUACGCAAUUAGAUAAUAAUAUAUUGGUAGGAUGAUUUUA
rnacentral:sRNA from 1 species